AAAUUCCUUGUCGGGUAAGUUCCGACCUGCACGAAUGGCGUAACGACUUCCCCGCUGUCUCCAACAUAGACUCAGCGAAAUUGAAUUACCUGUCAAGAUGCAGGUUUCCCGCGGUUAGACGGAAAGACCCCGUGCACCUUUACUACAACUUCACACUGGCAUCAGGCCAAGCAUGUGCAGGAUAGGUGGUAGGCUUUGAAGCAGAGACGCCAGUUUCUGUGGAGCCUCCCUUGAGAUACCACCCUUGCUUUGCUUGAUGUCUAACCGCGGUCCGUUAUCCGGAUCCGGGACCCUGUGUGGUGGGUAGUUUGACUGGGGUGGUCGCCUCCUAAAGCGUAACGGAGGCGCGCGAAGGUUGGCUCAGAGCGGUCGGAAAUCGCUCGUUGAGUGCAAUGGCAGAAGCCAGCCUGACUGCGAGACUGACAAGUCGA
rnacentral:rRNA from 12 species